rnacentral:rRNA from 1 species
AUAUUGGACAAUGGGUGAGAGCCUGAUCCAGCCAUCCCGCGUGAAGGAUGACGGUCCUACGGAUUGUAAACUUCUUUUGUAUAGGGAUAAACCCAGAUACGUGUAUCUGGCUGAAGGUACUAUACGAAUAAGCACCGGCUAACUCCGUGCCAGCAGCCGCGGUAAUACGGAGGGUGCAAGCGUUAUCCGGAUUUAUUGGGUUUAAAGGGUCCGCAGGCGGGCCGAUAAGUCAGUGGUGAAAUCUCAUAGCUUAACUAUGAAACUGCCAUUGAUACUGUCGGUCUUGAGUAAAUUAGAGGUAGCUGGAAUAAGUAGUGUAGCGGUGAAAUGCAUAGAUAUUACUUAGAACACCAAUUGCGAAGGCAGGUUACCAUGAUUUAACUGACGCUGAGGGACGAAAGCGUGGGGAGCGAACAGG